rnacentral:rRNA from 1 species
UAGCUUAAGAUGCAGUCGUGCGGUAACAGACAUAAAGAUUUAGCUUGCUAAAUCCGGUGCUGACGAGCGGCGAACGGGUGAGUAACACGUAGGAAUCUACCCAGUAGCGGGGGAUAGCCCAGGGAAACUUGGAUUAAUACCGCAUACACCCUAAGGGGAAAAGAAGGCCUCUCUUUGAAGCUUUCACUAUUGGAUGAGCCUGCGUAAGAUUAGCUUGUUGGUGGGGUAAAGGCCUACCAAGGCAACGAUCUUUAGCUGGUCUGAGAGGACGAUCAGCCACAUUGGGACUGAGACACGGCCCAGACUUCUACGGAAGGCAGCAGUUAGGAAUAUUGGACAAUGGGGGCAACCCUGAUCCAGCUAUACCGCGUGUGUGAAGAAGGCCCUAGGGUUGUAAAGCACUUUAAGCAGGGAAGAAGCAUAUUAAGUUAAUACCUUAAUAUGUUGACGUUACCUGAAGAAUAAGGACCGGCUAACUCCGUGCCAGCAGCCGCGGUAAUACGGAGGGUCCAAGCGUUAAUCGGAAUUACUGGGCGUAAAGCGCGCGUAGGCGGUUUAAUAAGUUGUAUGUGAAAGCCCCGGGCUCAACCUGGGAACUGCGUUCAAAACUCCUAAGCUAGAGUACGAGAGAGGGAAGUAGAAUUUCUGGUGUAGCGGUGAAAUGCGUAGAUAUCAGAAGGAAUACCAAUGGCGAAGGCAGCUUCCUGGAUCGUAACUGACGCUAAGGUGCGAAAGCGUGGGUAGCAAACAGGAUUAGAUACCCUGGUAGUCCACGCCGUAAACGAUGACAACUAGCCGUUGGGCAGAAUUGACUGCUCAGUGGCGCAGCUAACGCAUUAAGUUGUCCGCCUGGGGAGUACGGCCGCAAGGCUAAAACUCAAAUGAAUUGACNGGGGCCCGCACAAGCGGUGGAGCAUGUGGUUUAAUUCGAUGCAACGCGAA